CGCACACUGGCAUUCAACUGUGUCUCCUCACUGAUCUCCACCUCUGAGCCGAAGUCAUCCUGGCUCCAAUAGAACUGAGAGUGGGAUCAUCUAUCCAGCUGAACAUCCACGUUCUCUGAAGUGCCAAAGGCUUCCCUGAGUGGAGCGUUUCUGCCUGCAAGUCCUUUCUAGGAGAUGUACAGAUUACCCUCAACUGACCCCUUUGCUACUGGCUUCAUUUACUGCUGGUAUCUUGCUGCAGAAUCCAACCUCACACCUUCAAAGGCAUUUGUGGCCUUCAUCCUAAACCAGGUAUCACAGAAACACCGCUCCACUUCCACUCCUGCUGGGGUCCGAGAAGGACGGGAAUUAGAAAUGACAGGGAAGAGACAGGGAGG